UACGUAUGGAGCGAGCGUUGUCCGGAAUUAUUGGGCGUAAAGGGUACGCAGGCGGUUUAAUAAGAUGAAUGUUAAAGAACGGGGCUCAACCCCGCAAAGCAUUGGAAACUGAUAAACUUGAGUAGUGGAGAGGAAAGUGGAAUUCCUAGUGUAGUGGUGAAAUACGUAGAUAUUAGGAGGAAUACCAGUAGCGAAGGCGACUUUCUGGACACAAACUGACGCUGAGGUACGAAAGCGUGGGGAGCAAACAGG
rnacentral:rRNA from 1 species